UAAUCGCCCCGCGUAUAAACAAAAUAAGUACAUAUUUAAGUCGCGCGUUGUGCCUCAAGUAGGAUAGAAAUCCGCGGAAAGAGGAGAGGAAGCAGCGGGAGUAAAGGCGGACGAAUAUCUGGACGGGUGAUCGAAAAAUGAUCGAGCAAAAACGGACGAGUGGCUGGUAGCUCGCGAGCUGUCAUUUCUCGACACGUAGUUUCCUCUUCCGCGGCGCCCGCCUCUCCCCGAGAAAGACAAGAAGGCUUCAGCGCAAUAGCCCAGACUUCCGCAGUUCGACUUCCAUCCGGGGUUCAACGACUUCUGAGAUAUCCUGUAUGCAGAGCGCUUCCGCCGUUUCCCUUCUGCUUUUAGACACCAACGAUGACGAGUGGAGAUGGUCGAGGAACGUGAGAGGACGCGAAGGAAGUCUCUCGGCCGCCGAGAACAGCCCGAAAUCGACGGACGAGCCUCGUCGGCUCGGCUGCGUUCGCGCGGGCUUGACCAUAUCAGCCGAAGCACUGGAGGACUAUCUCCGUUCUCAUUAAAGGAUCAGGAACUUUGGUUCAUCAACCGACGAUACCAACAGGCGUAUUUUGGAGGAACGACAUUUUACGAUAUGCCCGAACCAUCAGCCGAUCUCGAGCGUUUUCCAGCAGAAGAGCACCAGCACGGCAAUCUGAAUACUGUCACGCAUAGAGAACGUCCUAACUAGGCAUCUUGAAGACAGUAGCUACAGAGUAAAACAGAUAGUUGCCCCGUAAUUCAUCACAAAUCUACACUGAAUCUGACAUCUUCUACCUCAACGCCAUUCGCACAACCCGUUUGUGACAGCGACUUUCAGACAGCGAACGUCGCUGCACGGACAAUCACAAUCAGCGUUGAUGUAACCCACGUGCACAGCGCUACAAAUGUAAAAGAAAAGCCUUCUAAGCUUUCGAGGAGCUUAACUUCCUUGCGAUAGGACUAUCUUCGGUUAUCUCCCUUGGGACUUUUUUGGGCAACGAUCACGUGAUUCUUUCUCGAAGGCGGAAACGUAAAAGCAAACAUUUCCAAAUUUCUUUAUCGCUUUCCAAUUACCGUUCAAAUGAGAAAGUUCUCUACUUUUCACAAAUUCGUGCUAGAGGAAAAGACUUGCCAGGGGGCCACGAAUCUUGUCCUUUAACGUGAAUUCGUGAGAAGGGGAAAUUUCGUAAUUUGAAAUUGCCCUGUUUCGAGCUCGAGAGCCGGAUCGAUAUCGGCACCGCGCAGGUUUCAGUCAGUAAGAUUGCGGGUUGAUAACCUGCCUAACGUCGAGCUUGCGAAGCGCACUUACCGGUGCGGCGAUUUUGUGCCGGCUAUAGUACACGCGUCUGAGCUUAUUAUAAUCCUGUCGCGGUAUUAUGGUACUGUAUUCCAACUUUCACUGCAGCGCUGAAAAUCGAUAGUUCAUGUUACAUAUACUUUAGAUUUUCAGCAUUGACGGUGGAUGUUGAAACGCAGCCUAUAGUUGCGGUUGAGCGUGUUGUUAUCGCGCGCCUGAGACGUGCUUUCCUUUAUGGCGACUGGUCUGUCACAGUUGGCAAAUUAAAGAUUAUAACAACUUUUUUCCCGAGUUUCGUAAAACAUCCCGUGUCCGAUAGAAAAAUCUGUUUCCUGAUCAUUCUCAGGAGAUUAAUUUUCCUUUCUUUCUUUGGAUACGAAAUUCAACGAGUAACCAAUUAAAAUCGGAAACUUCCUGUAUAAUGAAUGAUUUCACACACCUGGAAAUUCAUGAUAAAUCACUGAUCGCGCCUCGGCGUCCUAGCUUCUCAAUUAGCAUUCUGCUCUUCGUCGCAUGGAACGCUCGCUGACACUCGCGUAGAUACGACUCGAUCGAAGGAACACGUAUUAAUGAACGCGAUACCGACGCUGGCUCGUGUUUACGGUAGUUACACGUUUCAAAAGCCGACGAAUAUUUUAAUCGCCCCGCAGGAAUGAUAACUAACGACACACGUACUCCGCGGGAUACGUGUCGGCUGAUAUAUAAUGGGAACAUCCGGAAAAAUUCUCGGAAUCGAUGCUCUCGUAUGCGUACUUGCCGAGCGACGUACGUGCCGCGGUGCGGAGUACGUGUGUCGAUGUGUUGGUUAUUGCCGUCGAUUUUUCACGUGUUCAAUUGAACUCUUGCCGCCUUUAUUAUGACGUUUUCGAUCUCUGAACUGCAUCGUGUCAGUUCACCAAAUCAGGACGGAGAACGCGGGAUGUGGGCAAUGAUGCAUCAUGUAUUUUCAAAUAUAUAAAGUUACUCAUCAUGGAAGUUUGCAAUUUUAACGAAUAUUUUACCGACCCUCAACAUAUAAUUCGUCAUUAUUUGACAAAUAAUUAUAGCUUCAUGAGUAGUUCUGAUUCUUCGUUAACACGCGCCAAGCACAUUCUAUCAUGUUCAAAUUUAUUUGUAACUAUCGAAGUAGGAUUUGUCCAAAAUAUGACGUUGUUUCUCCGUUAGUCCUUCAAGUUCGAGAGAAUUUGCGAGGUUAACGUAAGACCAAAAUUUCGAGGGAAGGAAAACGCUAAGGAGAAAGGAGGAGAAAGCUAAAGUCGACCAUUAAGAGGCUUGUCGAAAAUUAUUUAUGAUGACUCGUUAAGAUGCAGACGGUAUAGCUCUCGGCUGGAAUUUGGUUUUUCUUCUGAGUCAUUUUACUAAACUCACAAGAAUGUCGGCGGUAUCACCGUGUAAUAAUCGUCAGAUAGAUUUCUGAUCGAUACCGUAAGAUCUACGGUUACUUGUCGCCUUUCAAGAUCUUCCUAUUCAAAAUGUUUACCUAACGUAGUAGAAAACGUGAGAAAUAUCGGGAUAAGCCUUCACGAUACGGAUACACGUCACCCGUUCAUGCACUGCCGUGAUAUCGAGUAGCGAAAAAAUGUCAUCGGCGUUUAGAGAAGCGGCCGCUAGUGUAAGUGGAAAAAUAAACAGCUCAGCGAGGGAAUAAAUAGGAGAUUAUGCGUCCGAGAGCGCUUUCGAUUGUAACCUUACUG